UGAUAAUUAUAUUUUUGGGGAAAAGAAUGUCACCAAUAUUGCUGCCAGAUGGUGAAAAGAACAUGAAUGCAAAUGAUGAACCACUUGCAAAGUUGCAGUCUCUGUGCCAAUUCUUCUCUGAUGCCAAUACCCGGGUAGGAGUUGAUGAGGAAUACACUCUCCAGGACCUCAAUCUGCAUGGAGCCCAAGAAGAUAUAUCAAUCAUACAAUCAAAUUGUAUUUUUGUUAUUUUCACAAAAACAUCUGUCACAAAGUGAAUAACAGUAACUAUCACAGCCCCCCCAAAAUGUGAAAACAUAGGCCUACAGGAUAUGUCACAGAUGUAAAUCAGAAAUGCUUUUUAAAAGUUGAUUUAUAAUAUCUCUAUCAAUCAA